CGCAAGAGUGAAAUUUAAAGGAAUUGACGGGAGGGCACCACCAGGAGUGGAGCCUGCGGAACAAGGAUUUGACUCAACACGGGGAAACUUACCAGGCCCGGACAUAGUGAGGAUUGACAGAUUAAAGUUCUUUCUUGAUUCUAUGAAUAGUAGUGCAUGGCCGUUCUUAGUUGGUGGAGUGGUCUGUCUGGUUAAUUCCGAUAACGAACGAGACCCCGGCCAUCUGACUAGCCGUCGCUACAUGUUAGCGCUUGGCCCCGCCAAGUUCGGCUUCUUAGAGGGACAAACUGUGUUCAGCAGUGGGAAGCGUGGGGCAAUAACAGGUCAGUGAUGCUCUUAUAAGGUCUGGGCUGCACGCGUGCUACAUUGGCGCACUCAACGAGUCCAACCUGUCUCGAAAGAGCCGGGUAACCUUCAAAGUGCGCCCAAGUGGGGAUAGACGAUUGUAAUUAUUCGUCUUGAACUAGGAACUCCUAGUAAACGCAAGUCAUCACCUUGCAUUGAUUACGUCCCUGCCCUUUGUACACACCGCCCGUCGCUCCUACCGAUCGAAUAAUGCCGUGAACUGGGUGGAGGAAUGCUGCUCGCAGUGUUCUCAAGCCCCGUGAACCUUGUUAUUUA
rnacentral:rRNA from 1 species